UCCGGUUUGGCACCGGCAGUCUCCAAUGAGUCCCCGGCAUUAUCCGCUGGCAACAUAAGACGAGGGUUGCGCUCGUUGCGGGGCUUAACCCAACAUCUCACGACACGAGCUGACGACAACCAUGCACCACCUGCGCAGGACCCUUGCGGACCUCACAUCUCCGUGAGAUUUCCCUGCAUGUCAAGCCUUGGUAAGGUUCUUCGCGUUGCAUCGAAUUAAUCCGCAUGCUCCGCCGCUUGUGCGGGGUCCCGUCAAUUCCUUUGAGUUUUAGCCUUGCGGCCGUACUUCCCAGGCGGGGCACUUAAUGCGUUAGCUACGGCACGGAGCCCGUCGAUCGAGCCCCACACCUAGUGCCCAACGUUUACGGCGUGGACUAC
rnacentral:misc_RNA from 1 species